GAGCGGCCGUGUUAUAGAGAGAAAGGGUUUCGAUCAGGACGAGCAACACUGAACCUGCAUCAGGAGGAAACCGUGAAGCUGACACAACAUCCUGCUGAUGCUCAACCACUGGACUUGUGUUAGAGCACAGGAGUCCCAGAACUGCAGGAGAGGGUCUCUGUGUCUUCAUUGUUGCUGAGGAUACAUCUGAGGAGCACACAUCACUUCCACAACGCAUCCAAUGAAACAUGGCACUUGCAGGACACCUGAAGCAAGAUGACAUUGAUGCAGCUAUCCAGGCUUGUCACGGUGUCACACACACACACACACACACACACACACCAGACAAGCAGAUAUCAGAUCACAUACUUACUGUAAUUAUUCAUCCCAAAUGCCACACAAUAACAUGUUGUCCAAACCGAUGGAAUAUAGCAAUUUUUUUAAAUCACAUGCACAUAUUUUCAAAAAUGAUGCUAGAAAAAGGCCUACUUUUAAGAUUUAUUCAUUUGAGUUAUAUGCAUAUUCCAUCCAAUUUAAAAUAAAACAAUCAACUUAACUUGAUGCAUAUCUGUCACUCAUUCAUUAAACGUCUUAGAAACAGGUCAGAAAAAAAUCAUGGCAUAGUUUGUCAUUAACUUUUGGCAUCUACUGAUUUCAUUUAAAUAAUCCUAAUUUUAUAGUGUAUUUAUUCAAGCAUAAAUCAACAUGAAUCUGUACACCAUGAAAACAGUUAGGAAGUAUAAGCAUUGUGAAUAUCUCCAGCGAUGGCUAGCUGUGUACUAUAAGCAAUAUUAGUUCAAUUAUAUGAGAUUGAAUAAAAAUAGCAUUUAUAGAUCAUAAGUAUAUAAACCCAGUUAUUACUGACAAAUAUGCAUCACAUAAUGUUUAUUCGUUGGUUUAUGUUAAAACUGUGCUCAGUCCAAAUGGAUGGACAUUUUGUACAAAAUGCAAAUGCAUAAACAGUCUAAAUAUUUUCAUGUUGUUGAGCAUUUUUUUGUCAUUCAGCCCCGGGACUUUCAACCACAAGACAAGUGUGACUGAUAUGUAAAGCUACUUCAGACGGGGAGAAGGAGUUCAAGGUCCUGGACCAGGUUUAUUGAAAAAGAGGAGCUGAAAUGCUUCCUCCAGAACGUCUGCUCAAAGGCCAGAGAGCUCACGGAGGACGAGACCACCUCUCUCUUGGGAGCUGGGGACAGUGAUGGAGACGGCAAAAUUGGGAUGGAA